AUUGAACGCUGGCGGCAGGCCUAACACAUGCAAGUCGAGCGGAUGAAGGGAGCUUGCUCCUGGAUUCAGCGGCGGACGGGUGAGUAAUGCCUAGGAAUCUGCCUGGUAGUGGGGGAUAACGUCCGGAAACGGGCGCUAAUACCGCAUACGUCCUGAGGGUGAAAGUGGGGGUUCUUCGGACCUCACGCUAUCAGAUGAGCCUAGGUCGGAUUAGCUAGUUGGUGGGGUAAAGGCCUACCAAGGCGACGAUCCGUAACUGGUCUGAGAGGAUGAUCAGUCACACUGGAACUGAGACACGGUCCAGACUCCUACGGGAGGCAGCAGUGGGGAAUAUUGGACAAUGGGCGAAAGCCUGAUCCAGCCAUGCCGCGUGUGUGAAGAAGGUCUUCGGAUUGUAAAGCACUUUAAGUUGGAAGGAAGGGCAGUAAGUUAAUACCUUGCUGUUUUGACGUUACCAACAGAAUAAGCAACGGCUAACUUCGUG
rnacentral:rRNA from 1 species